UACGAAGGGGGCUAGCGUUGUUCGGAUUUACUGGGCGUAAAGGGCGCGUAGGCGGCCAGCACAAGUCAGUUGUGAAAUCUCCGGGCUUAACUCGGAAAGGUCAACUGAUACUGUGCGGCUAGAGUGCAGAAGGGGCAACUGGAAUUCUCGGUGUAGCGGUGAAAUGCGUAGAUAUCGAGAGGAACACCUGCGGCGAAGGCGGGUUGCUGGGCUGACACUGACGCUGAUGCGCGAAAGCCAGGGGAGCGAACGGG
rnacentral:rRNA from 1 species